AACGAACGCUGGCGGCAUGCCUAACACAUGCAAGUCGAACGAGACCUUCGGGUCUAGUGGCGCACGGGUGCGUAACGCGUGGGAACCUGCCCUUAGGUUCGGAAUAACUCCCCGAAAGGGGUACUAAUACCGGAUAAUGUCUUCGGACCAAAGAUUUAUCGCCUUUGGAUGGGCCAGCGUUGGAUUAGCUAGUUGGUAGGGUAAAAGCCUACCAAGGCGACGAUCCAUAGCUGGUCUGAGAGGAUGAUCAGCCACACUGGGACUGAGACACGGCCCAGACUCCUACGGGAGGCAGGAGUGGGGAAUAUUGGACAAUGGGCGAAAGCCUGAUCCAGCAAUGCCGCGUGAGUGAUGAAGGCCUUAGGGUUGUAAAGCUCUUUUAACCGGGAUGAUAAUGACAGUACCGGGAGAAUAAGCUCCGGCUAACUCCGUG
rnacentral:rRNA from 1 species